GGAAACUUAAAACAAGCAUAACUAUCCACUGAUUGUCCACUUGAUCCAAGAUAGAAACUUUUCUAAUCAUGGAGGGAAUGGAAAACUCUGAUGAGCGCAAUGAGAAGGAGAGACUAAGGAUGAGGAUUGCAGUCCUGGAGGAGAGUGUGAGGUCCUGUGAGGUGGACUGCAGAGCCAGUAGGGAGACAGUGGUGAGGCUGGAGACUGAACUGGACCAGGAGAGGAGGAAGUCUGCCAGCAGUGCUGAAGCUCUUCACUCACUCAAAGUGGUACGUAUACAUACUUUUAAAGCAGUGGCUAUCCGUACAAUUGCCGUAUCAAUAUACCGACAUUCUAUCCGUACGCAGCGCCCCUGUUUGGCCAGUUUAGGGCACGUGAUAGGUCAGUCAUUGGUCAGUUUAGGUCGGUGACUAAGACUAAAUCUUACCCUAAACCUAACCUUAACCCUUACAAUUGUUGCGAUAUUGGGUUAUAACCUAGCCCCAACCCUAAACCUAAACAUAAACCUAACCCUGAUCCUAAAAAUUAUUGCGAUAUUGGGUUAUAACCUAGCCCCAACCCUAAACCUAACCAUAAACCUAACCCUAGUCCUAAAAAUUGUUGUGAUAUUAGGUUAUAACCUAGCCCUAACUCUAAAAUGCUACGUACGUGUACUUUGGUAACCUUACCAAUAGCACCGGGGUUGUCCGUACGGCAACCGUACAAAUAGACACUUUGUACUUUAAAGGAAGUGUCUCCUAGUACGUAAUACGUAUCUAUAUGGCGGCAGUGUAUC
rnacentral:lncRNA from 1 species